rnacentral:rRNA from 1 species
GACGAAGGAUGCAAGCGUUAUCCGGAUUCAUUGGGUUUAAAGGGAGCGUAGGCGGCCUUGUAAGUCAGUGGUGAAAUCUCUGGGCUUAACUCAGAAAUUGCCAUUGAUACUGCAGGGCUUGAGUACAGUUGCCGUUGGCGGAAUAUGACAUGUAGUGGUGAAAUACAUAGAGAUGUCAUAGAACACCGAUUGCGAAGGCAGCUAACGAAACUGUAACUGACGCUGAGGCUCGAAAAGUGUGGGGGAUCAAACAGG